CUUCCAGGUGGGGGCGGCACGGAGGUCCAGCUCCAUCCAACACUGGCGCAGUAGUACCCCGACUCGCCACUUGGCCGCCGACCGCACCCGCCGCCCCCGUCGCCGGCCUUCCUCCGUCCUCCCCAACCACCCAGCUCUGGCGCACCUCUCUGCUCCGGAUCUGAUUAUUGCAUAAACGCGAAAGUUGUUUGGGAUAAAUUGCAAGACAGUGUGAUGGAAUGCAAUAGAGAAGAAGCUGUAAGGGCUAGAAGAAUUGCUUUAAAGAAGUUGGAGAAAAGAGAUUUUUCAGGUGCCCAAAGGGUUGCACUUCAGGCUCAAAGGCUUUAUCCAGAGCUUGAGAACCUAUCCCAGUUAUUAACUGUCUGCAAAGUGUACUGUGCGGCUGAGGCAAAGAUCAACAGACAGUUGGACUGGUAUGGUAUCCUUCAAGUACAGGUAACAGCGGAUGACACUCUGAUAAGGAAGCAAUAUGAUGAACUUGCAUUUUGGCUUCAUCCCAACAAAAAUACUCUUCCUGGUGCUGAAGCUGCUUUCAAGUUGGUUUCAGAAGCUCAUAUGAUAUUGUCCGAUCAUGUGAAGCGAUCUCGCUAUGACAUCAAAAGACAGACUGCAGGGCUAUCAGACACAACUCUUGGAAAAAGAAGUGGGGCUAGACACGUAGAACCAUAUGAUUGUGCAAUUGUUUUCUGGACUGUAUGUCCACACUGCCAGAAGCGAUUUGUCUACUACCAGCGGAACUUUUUGGCCAUCUGUGAUGACUGUGGCAAAAAUUUCUUUGCCUUUAAGUUGAGUGAGCAGGCCAUGCCCUUGAGAUUCCUGUCACUUGCACCUGAUAAUUCUCAAGUUUCACUACAAAUGGUUUCACAUCAACAACAUGGUGUCCCUGAUCAACUGAUACUGUACACUGAGAUCAUGGAUUCUGAACCAAUAGUGGAUUCCACAUGUACUGAGGAGCAUGUAACAUGGGUUGGAACCUCAGGUGUUCAUGGGAAAGGUAGUUCACAGACAAGAAGUAAUGUAGUUCAGUGUUCAGCGGUAAACCAAUCUCACACAUCAUCACCUUCUGCAGACAAUGGUGCAACUGGAAGUAUGAUGUUAGACUCUCCUGCUUCUGACGAUGUUGUCAACUGGAACUUUGGUAGAGAGGAUACACCUAUAGUGUCAAAUGCUGCAGGGUCAUGCAAUCUUCAGAUGUUAGGCAAGAGGAAGCAUGAUGAUUGUGCCGACAGAGGCCAUAGGAGGGACUCUUGUAUCAAUAAAAGACCAAGUAAGGACAGUUCAGUUUCUGAUGCUAAUUCCACUGCUGAUAAAAUGUAUAAUGAUGAUGUUGUUAUUGCUAACACUCAAGCUGCCAAACAAAUUUCUGACACCAUGGACAGCCAAGGUGAAGGAAAUGCAACACAUGAAGGUAGUCAGCAAAACUACAAGGAGGAAGCUACAGAUAUUGCUAAUCAGACGCAUGGCAAUCCUGGGAAUACUGGUAGCAUGUGCAGCAGGGACUCUUGUAACAAUGACAGACAAAGGAAGGACAAUUCACUUGCUGACGCUAAUUCAACUGAUGAUAAAGCGUGUAGUGAUAAUGUUGGUAGUGGUGAAAAUCAAGCUGCUGAACCUGUUCCCAGCACAUUGGACAGCCAAGAUGAGGGAAAUGCAACACAAGAAGGCAGUCAGCAAAAGUACAAGAAGGAUGCGACGGAUAUUGCUAAUGAGACGCAUUGUAAUCCCGUGAUUACCUAUGAGCCUUCAGAUUUCUUUGACUUCGGAACAUUAAGAAAACUUAACAGGAUAGCAGUUAAUCAAAUCUGGGCAAUUUAUGAUGAUCAUGAUUGCAUGCCGAGGAAUUAUGCUCAGAUAAAUCACGUCCAUGCUUCCAACAAUACUGUUCAGUUGACUUGGCUGGAACACAACACAACGGAUUUACAAGAGACCAGAUGGACUGGUAAAGAAUUGCCUGUUGCAUGUGGGAACUUCUGCUUAGGAGAGACGUGUGUACUAGAAGAUCCAUCCAUGUACUUAUCUCAUAAAGUUUCAUGGGUAGCAGGCAAAAAUAGGAAUUCAUUUGAAAUUCAUCCUAAGAAAGGUGAGAUAUGGGCUCUUUACAAAGAAUCAAGUCCGCUGCAGAGCCGAGACACUGAUAAUCAUCAAUCUGUUGACUUUGAUGUUGUGGAAGUUUCUGAUGACUCAAUGAGUGUUGGUAUUAUCGUUUUCCCCUUGGUCAAAAUUGAAGGCUUUGUGAGCCUAUUUGCAGAGCCCAAGGAUAAAACCCAUAUUCUGAUACCAUCGAGUCAGCUACUUCGAUUUUCUCACAGUAUACCUUAUUAUAAAACAAAUGGAACUGAAAAGUUAGGUGUAGGAGGGCUACUGGAACUGGAUACUGCUGCUCUUCCUAGUGACUUAGCCACAGUGUUUUCUUCCAUUACUCUGGAUUCUUUCAUCGAUCUCAACAAGGAAAAGGUCACUGAGUUUGUCAGUAUUACAUAUCCUGAUUCUGAAUUCUACAAUUUCGUUGAAGACCGCUCGUGUGAGAAGUUUGAGCGUGGGCAAAUUUGGGCUCUCUACAGCAGUACUGAUACAUUUCCUAACCUCUAUGGUUGGAUAAACAAAGUUGAGAAGGAACCAUUCAAAGUACAUUUGACCUGGCUUGAAACUUUUCCUCAGGAGGUAGAUAAGCAUUGGUUGGAUCAGGACAUCCCUGUGAGCUGUGGUAAAUUUGUGAUCCAGAAUUCAACAACUGAGCAUUGUGAAACCUGUGCUUUCUCCCAUUUAGUGGUAAAUAGUUGGGAAAUGGGUACAAAGCGGCAGGUCAAUAUUCUUCCAAAGGUAGGUGAGGUCUGGGCCAUCUACAAGAACUGGACGCCUGACUGGGUUCCUUCCAGGAAAGAUCGUCCUGCCAAGUAUGCCAUUGGUGAGAUCAAGAUGUGUACUGAAACUACCACUCUGUUUGCUUUCCUGACCAAAGUUGAUGGCCACCUCUCUGUGUUCAAGCCUGAUGUGCAGAAAGGAGCACUGGAGGUACCAAGGAAAGAGAACCUGAGGUUUUCUCAUCGGAUACCAUCAUUCCGUCUGACAAAAGAGAAUGGUGGCAAGCUCUGUGGCUUCUAUGAGCUUGACCCUGCUGCUAUUCCCGACCUUCUUUAGGAAGGAUCUUCCCUAAAUUGCUGCUUUUAAUGUCUGACUCGUCUCAAGACUGAAGAAUGACAUGUGAAGAUGAAAGUGCAAGUGAAUUAUGCUCACUUUCUUCAUGAUGAAUGUAGUAUUGUGGCUAUGGCAGCAAAACAAUGCAACGGCCGAUGAUGACUCCAACUGGAGAAAAAAGGGUAAAUUUGAUGGCUAGAUAGACGAGAAGUCCAUCUAACCACAACCCUGUUUAUACAGACAAUGGCUAAAUUAGCUGACAAACUUGCCUUCAUCAUUCCAAAUGAUAAAAAUGAGGUGUCGAGGGUUCAUCAUUCCAAAUAUUUAAGCAAUCGCCUGUCACUUUUUAUGCAAUGUUCAUGAACAGAGGAACAGAUAAUUUCAGGAAAAUUGGAUAGAGACUGCUGAAGAGAUGAAUAAUUUAAUCUUAGAAGAUGCAGAGGUACAUUCAUCAAUAUGCCACUUCAUUUAAGUUUCAAACCUUGAAUAUCUGCUGGUCUGCUGAAACUUACUGAAGCAUUCAUGUUGAUCGCCUAUGUGGGGGAGCAUGUAUGUUUUCUGAUCAGCAAGUAGCAUUUGGGGCUGCCCGUCCCCUAGGGGAUCACCGUGAUGGCCUUUUAGUCCAGUAGGAGUUACGUUGAUCACACAUUGGUUACCAAGGAGGGUAAUCACACAUUUCAUGUGAUCUUGGUGUGCAGUAUGCUGAUGGAAAAUCAACUCAGCUCCUGUCCUGUAGCCAUUUGCUGAGUAAAAGUUUCCAUUGGUUGCUUUGCUGUCUUUCUAACAGGUCAGGUACUACAGAAGCUGGACGAGAUUGCUGACAGAAGAGAAUUGAGGAAAGCUUCUAUGAGCUUGACCCAGCUGCUGUUCCUAACAUUCUUCUGUGGGGACUUUCCCCUAACAGCUGCUGUUGAUGCGUGACCUGUCCCAGUGACAAAUGUCUGAAAAAUACUAUUGUCUGUUGCUAUUCUCUGCAGACCGAAGACAGCCACUGUCAUGGUACUGGUAUCUGAUUGGGUUCUCAGUGUUUGUGGCAAGGUGAAGGUGGUUAUUUGGACUUGACCAUUUUUGCCACAUGUAAUUUCUCGUGCAUUUUACUGCAAAGAAUUCGUUGAUCUGAAAUCUGAAGUAGGUGUUUAACUGUUUCUGGUA